AAUCUUCGACAAUGGGCGAAAGCCUGAUGGAGCAACGCCGCGAGAGUGAAGUAGGAUGUAGGUACGUCCAACUCUGUUGUAAGGGAAGAACAAGUACAGUAGUAACUGGCUGUACCUUGACGGUACCGUAUUAGAAAGCCACUGCUAACUACGUGACAGCAGCCGCGGUAAUACGUAGGUGGCAAGCGUUGUCCGGAAUUAUUGGGCGUAAAGCGCGCGCAGGUGGUUUCUUAAGUCUGAUGUGAAAGCCCACGGCUCAACCGUGGAGGGUCAUUGGAAACUGGGAGACUUGAGUGCAGAAGAGGAUAGUGGAAUUCCAAGUGUAGCGGUGAAAUGCGUAGAGAUUUGGAGGAACACCAGUGGCGAAGGCGACUAUCUGGUCUGUAACUGACACUGAGGCGCGAAAGCGUGGGGAGCAAACAGG
rnacentral:rRNA from 1 species